GUCAGGGCAGCAGCCUGGAUGCAAUGAGAUCUCAGGGCAGGGUGUCACUGAGUUUCUCCAGGCUGACAGGGGCUCUGAAAUGUGAUCCAGAGCACUUCCCCAGGGGAAAAGUGCUGUCCAUGCUGCAUCUUUGUCACUGAGCUAGCCAGCAGUCCCUGCUGAGGGAUGGACAGGUAGGUUUAACACACAGACAACCUGAGUCUCCUCAUAUCCCAUAAACUCAGCCUUGGAGGAUGGACAAUGCGCCUGCUAGGAGGGAAGACCCCAUGCCACACCACCGUACAUGUGAGAAAACCCUGCCCUGCCCUGCCCUGCCCUGCCAGAGCUGCAGGCUGCUGGCUUCCUAUUUACCCUGGCAAUGGGGUUUUCCUUUCAAUAGAAGUGGCUUGGUGAUGACAAAACCAAGCUUAUUUAAAGAAAAAAAAAAAUAUCCUACAAACCAACAUCGGAGGGGUGAGUAAACACAGGGGAUGAAGAGAUGAGGCUGGAGAAUGUUUUCAUUUGGCGAACUGUGAGCUGUGUUUAGAAGCGUGGACCCCAGAUGCAACCCAAAGGCUGCUAGCCCCCUCUGACCACCAAGCCCAGUCUCCUGGCUGAGCCCCAGCUGCCUUGGCUAUGAAGUGAGAAGGCAGACCCCUCUCAUGGGCUCCCAAGCAGAUUGACAAGGUGGUGUGAAAGGCUCUGUAUGCACAGAAGCACCAGCCAGGAAGCGUCCUCAGGACUGCCAUCGAGCAGAUAUUUACUGAGCCCUAUUAUAUGCCAAGGUGUGGUGUCAGAGGCAAGCAGGAUCUCUGUCCUUGUCUGCGUGUCGACUGGAUAUUCAGCAAACACAUACUGAGCUGCCACCUGCCUUGGUCAUAGAACACCACAGGGAGGCCACUCCUUCCUUCCUGAAGCUGAGACUGCAAUGAGGGGCUCAAUAACCCUCUCCAAGAGCAGAAGGGCAAAGAAAUAACGACAAGACUUGAGGUACUGGAGGCCUUCCUGUCCCUCAGUCUUCAAGUCUGCCUUUAGGGCAGGAGGUGCGAAGCUGCCCGGUGUACUGGCACAAACUUCCGUAAGCUAGCUGCGGGAGCCAAGAUGCAGAGGCUGAAGGGGCGAGGCAGUUCUGAGGUGGCACCGACCACAGCAGUGAGCCAUCCAGGAGAGACGAGUAGUCAGAGCAGGUGGAGGAGAAGCGGCUAAAGAGAAGGAAUCUGAUGUUUGGAGUUGAAUAUGGUGGGUGGCAGAAGCGAGCAGAAACAAAUGAUCCACACCUUAGGAUCAAAUCGGUGUUCCAUUUGGAGAGGCUGGGCACCUUGGAAUUGGGUCCAUUUGUGCCCCUGGGUUUCAGCACCAGAUGCAUUCGAGGGGGCACAGUAAGGAAACUGCCAACAUGACUGCUCCAUGGUAUGGUUAAGGAGAAGGUUUGCAUUGCGCACAAGAGAAAAUAUCCAAAGGCAUCUGGAAGAGUCCAGAUCAGAGAGAAAAGAGAGCAAACCAGAUAUAGGUAGGGCUAUCUGCAAGGAGAGGGCAGGUCUCAGGAGGACACACACACACACACACACACACACACACACACACACACACACACA
ensembl:lncRNA